CGGUGGAUGGCGAAGUGUCUUUCUCCCUUUUGGACAGGGAGCUCGACGGUCGUGAGCGGAGGCGAUAAAUUCGAUUUCUAUUUCACUUC
rnacentral:tRNA from 1 species